rnacentral:rRNA from 1 species
UACGUAGGGUGCAAGCGUUGUCCGGAAUUAUUGGGCGUAAAGAGCUCGUAGGCGGUCUGUCGCGUCGGGCUGUGAAAACCUGGGGCUUAACUCCGGGCCUGCAGCCGAUACGGGCAGACUAGAGUUCGGCAGGGGAGACUGGAAUUCCUGGUGUAGCGGUGAAAUGCGCAGAUAUCAGGAGGAACACCGGUGGCGAAGGCGGGUCUCUGGGCCGAAACUGACGCUGAGGAGCGAAAGCGUGGGGAGCAAACAGG